rnacentral:rRNA from 1 species
UCCACACGACUCUCGGCAACGGAUAUCUCGGCUCUCGCAUCGAUGAAGAACGUAGCGAAAUGCGAUACCUGGUGUGAAUUGCAGAAUCCCGUGAACCAUCGAGUCUUUGAACGCAAGUUGCGCCCGAGGCCAUCCGGUCGAGGGCACGCCUGCCUGGGCGUCAC